UGGUCCGUGAGUGUGCCAUGUCUUCUAUGUCAGCAGUCGCCAACCUUUCAACCCUCAUGGACCACCAGCAGUCCAUGGACCACCAGCUGGCAACCG